rfam:Brachypodium distachyon strain Bd21 chromosome 1, whole genome shotgun sequence.
GGUGGCACGAUGAGGAACUAGCUUUGCUAACUGAUGUAUGAGGUCAUCGACCAAUGACUCAGUAAUGUCCUUUUCAUUCUGAGUGCCUU